ACCUCCUCUGUGCCUGGCUGGAUCAGGGUGGGGCUGUAGAGCUGCACAUCAUAGUCUGCAUCCGGGUCAGCCCUGAAUCUCAGGCACUGGAAGGUUACCCUGAUGGGCAGGACCCACUCCCAUCACUAAGAGAACAUCAAAAGGGCAGGUGUGGGGGUGGAUAGGAAGAUCAGGAUCUCUGAAAGGACUCCACCUGGACCCAUGAUUCAUGACUCAACCAGUCCACCCAGAAGCUGACUCAGAGCAUAAGGAGCAUUUUCCACACCCCUAGGAUUUCAUCUCCAACCAAUCAGCAUUCCCCAUUCUCUAGCCCCUGUCCACCAAACUAUUCUUUAAAAACCUUAGCUCUAAGCUUUAUUUAUUUAUUUAAGUAAUACACUCCUGUCUUCCACUUAGCUGGUUCUGUAUUUAUUAAACUCUUUCUCUACUGCC
ensembl:lncRNA LINC02833 long intergenic non-protein coding RNA 2833